AUGGAAAAUUGAAAAUAGAGAGGCUGCUCGAAAACACUCAAAGUUAAAAAUAAUGUAUUAGACUUAGGGCUUGAUUGGUUCUCCCUUUACCACCCGCAAACGCUUGUUAGCGAUUGACACCAAUCAUAGAAAUCGUUAGAUAUCGUUUUGGACCGCUCGAAAUCGCCCGUUUUUCAAAAACUCUUUUCCGCAAUCGUUUGCGGUUGCGAGCGGUAGCGGUUAGGUUAAAAAAAAAUAUCAU
rnacentral:sRNA from 1 species